rnacentral:rRNA from 1 species
GACGAACGCUGGCGGCGUGCUUAACACAUGCAAGUCGAACGGAAAGGCCCUGCUUUUGUGGGGUGCUCGAGUGGCGAACGGGUGAGUAACACGUGAGUAACCUGCCCUUGACUUUGGGAUCACUUCAGGAAACUGGGGCUAAUACCGGAUAGGAGCUCCUGCUGCAUGGUGGGGGUUGGAAAGUUUCGGCGGUUGGGGAUGGACUCGCGGCUUAUCAGCUUGUUGGUGGGGUAGUGGCUUACCAAGGCUUUGACGGGUAGCCGGCCUGAGAGGGUGACCGGCCACAUUGGGACUGAGAUACGGCCCAGACUCCUACGGGAGGCAGCAGUGGGGAAUAUUGCACAAUGGGCGGAAGCCUGAUGCAGCAACGCCGCGUGCGGGAUGACGGCCUUCGGGUUGUAAACCGCUUUCGCCUGUGACGAAGCGUGAGUGACGGUAAUGGGUAGAGAAGCACCGGCUAACUACGUG